rnacentral:rRNA from 1 species
CUCCUCCUGAUGGUUUAUUCAUAGGAGGUAGGCCCUGCCCGGUGCGCACUGUAAGUGCGUUAACGGUUGCGGCAGCACCGUACUAAGGUAGCAUGGUAGAUUGCCCUUUAAUUGGGGGAGAGCACGAAUGGGUUGACGUUGCAGGUGCUGUGUCUGGGGUAUUAUAGAUGGUGGGGCCAAUUUUAUAUGGCCAGCCUAGAUAAACCUACCUUCUAGCUUUUUAGGGUAGGGUGAUCCUAAAAAGCUGGAAGGUAUGGUCCUAGGGGUCAGGUGAGAAAUGAAAAUUUCUUCCAGGUUAAUAGGCCUGGAUGGUUUUAAAAGACGAGAAGACCCUGUCGAGUUUGAAUAGUGUAAGCGGGGGGUCACGUAGCAUGAAGUUUAGCUGGGGCGGCUGCUGAUGAAUAGAUCAUCAGAUACAAUUUACGGAGAUCGAAUGUUGAACUAUAAAAGGGAAAAACUACCGCAGGGAUAACAGGGUCUACUCCUUUCCGAGGACGUAUCGGCUGGGGGAAGACUACCUCGAUGUUGAAUCAGGAUAUCGCCCAUGGUAGCAGAAGCUUGGGUGGAUGGUCUGUUCGCCCAUUAAAAUCCGCCG